UCCAGACUCCUACGGGAGGCAGCAGUGGGGGAUAUUGCACAAUGGGGGGAACCCUGAUGCAGCGACGCCGCGUGGGCGAGGAAGUAUUUCGGUAUGUAAAGCCCUAUCGGCAGGGAAGAAGAAAUGACGGUACCUGAAUAAGAAGCACCGGCUAAAUACGUGCCAGCAGCCGCGGUAAUACGUAUGGUGCAAGCGUUAUCCGGAUUUACUGGGUGUAAAGGGCGUGUAGGCGGGAAAGCAAGUCAGAUGUGAAAACCAUGGGCUCAACCUGUGGCCUGCAUUUGAAACUGUUUUUCUUGAGUACUGGAGAGGCAGACGGAAUUCCUAGUGUAGCGGUGAAAUGCGUAGAUAUUAGGAGGAACACCAGUGGCGAAGGCGGUCUGCUGGACAGCAACUGACGCUGAGGCGCGAAAGCGUGGGGAGCAAACAGGAUUAGAUACCCCCGUAAAC
rnacentral:rRNA from 1 species